rnacentral:tRNA from 3 species
GGAUCGCUAGCUCAAUGGUAGAGCAGUACCCUCUUAAGGUAUUGGUUCUGGGUUCGAGUCCCAGGCGGUCCACCA